GAAGCAAAUUUUCUAACCAUGGAUCAGAAUGAAACAAUAAUGAUCACUUCACUGGCCCAGGAUGACUCGCACCCUAGGUGUUUGCUGUUUUGUCUAAACUAAACCAGGGAAAGAACGAGUUUAAUGUGGCAUUCUUGGAGGCAAAGGGAAGCGUCCAUGGCCACGGGUUAAGUCGAGCUACUCAACUGGAACUGCAUGCGCACCUGUUCUACAGCUCGCAGUAAUGGCGAUUCAACAAACGCGCGAUCAACUGCUUGUCCUGAAAACAGCUUUACAAAAUAGCAAGUAAGAGCCUUGCGUUCCACGAGGUGUUUAAAUAUUUGUGCAUUUAUAUUGACAACCAACUCCACGUUGUUUCUUGCA